UAAAAUUCAAUUGUAACUGCCCAACCAACCAGUUCUUUUUUUUUCUCUCAGAUGCUUUAUCACUGUAGGUGAAACCAACGCCAAACUUUUUAUCAUUGCGACUGUCCACCCAGCACCCACACUUGCACGUGCCCAUGCAUAUAGAAAUGCUCAUAUUAACUGGAAAAGGGAGAAGAAAGAAAAGGAAAACUGGUGCAUGACGGGGUAUUCAAUUUGAACUCUCCCAAGUAUGAUUAAAGUUGCAUUCGGUCUGGUGCCACUUAAUGAGAUUUACUUCACAAUGAUUGUGAUCUAUGCCAUAAAUUUCAGUCUUCAGCUCAUCUUCAUUUCAAUCUUUUGCCAUUGCAAUAGCAAAAUUGAUGGAUCUCCUCUUUAGUUCAUGUUAUGGUAAACUAACAAACACCAUCUUAUUAAUUAAAUCUGCAACAUCCCUGUGUAUCAGUUCCAGCCUUAGCCUCAACCAUCUAAGUUCUAUGGUCUAAACUCACAAACACCUCUUUGGCUCCCAUUAGUUUU
rnacentral:lncRNA from 1 species